AUCAGCACUCCUGGUAUCAGAGAUGCCAUGACUUCAGAUCUGUUAGUAAUAACCAUAUGAACAGAAGUUAAAAUUACAAAUUUCCAGUUUUAUUGUAUCAUUGAUAUCAAGUUUCCAGAAUUGUCAGUAAUGUUAGAUCCACAAAUGAACACAGGCUGCCAGAGCUCAGAACACUUGCUGUUACUUUUCUUUUCUUAUUUAUGGAAAUCUUCUUGUAGGUAUUCACUGCUUAGCUGGCCUAUGUGAUGCCAUGCCGGCUGAAGAAGUCAAAGCCUAUUAGCUAUUUGGAAGAUCAUAAGAGUUGUAGACAAAUGUAUCAAUCUGCAGGCUAAGAAAUUAAACAACUCAGAAGCACAAGUUGACCAGAUUUACCUCAGAGAAGAAGGAGCUUUGCAAUAAAGAAUGAAGAUUUUGAGGCUUAGAAGGAUGUUUGUGUUGCAGGAAUAUGACAAACAAAGUAAGUUCCUUUUGGUGAAAAAUCAGUGUGGCAGACCAAACAAGGGGGAGAAAUUGCAUGGUAGACAAGUAAUCAUUCAUCACAGAUUUCUUGGCUUUUAAGGCAAGUGACAAUCAUCAUUUGUUCCCAAGUAAUGUUGUAGCAAACAAACAUAAUCCUGAGCCUAAUGGGUAUUUUUUAAUUAGAAUAUUGUAAGGAUUAACUGAUGCUUGUACUUGAAGGGAUUGUGGGUGGGAAAAUGUUUGAUAAUUAAAGUGUUAGAUUGGUUAUAAACUAUAGGUACGAUGAGGAAUUUGGUAGACCAAUUCCAAUGAUUUCUAUGGGAAGUUAGGGGCAGGUGGAGUAACGUAGAAC
rnacentral:lncRNA from 1 species